rfam:Helianthus annuus linkage group 15, whole genome shotgun sequence.
AGGCCGUGAUGGGGACACUUGCGUAAUAGCUCCUUGAACCUUUCCCAAGUUUCAUAUAAGGAUUCCCCGUCCUCUUGUGUCACACCCCCAAAAAUCCACACGCGGAGUAU